rnacentral:rRNA from 1 species
GGAUUAGAUACCCUGGUAGUCCACACCGUAAACGCUGUCUACUAGCUGUGUGUGUAUUUAAUACGUGCGUAGCGAAGCUAACGCGCUAAGUAGACCGCCUGGGGAGUACGGCCGCAAGGUUAAAACUCAAAUGAAUUGACGGGGGCCCGCACAAGCGGUGGAGCAUGUGGUUUAAUUCGAUGCAACGCGAAGAACCUUACCUACACUUGACAUGCCAAGAAGGUCGAAGAGAUUUGACUGUGCCUUCGGGAACUUGGACACAGGUGCUGCAUGGCUGUCGUCAGCUCGUGCCG